GAUGAACGCUGGCGGCGUGCCUAAUACAUGCAAGUCGAACGAGGUGCUUUUGUAGCAAUACGAGAGUAUCCUAGUGGCGAACGGGUGAGUAACGCGUGGAUGACCUGCCCCAAAGUGUGGGAUAACAGUCCGAAAGGAUUGCUAAUACCUCAUGUGGUUAUCGGUUUUAGAAAGCGAUAACUAAAGCAGCAAUGCGCUUUGGGAGGGAUCUGCGUCCCAUCAGCUAGUUGGUGAGGUAACGGCUCACCAAGGCGACGACGGGUAGGGGACCUGAGAGGGUGGCCCCCCANAAUGGAACUGAAACACGGUCCAUACACCUACGGGUGGCAGCAGUUAGGGAAUAUUGCUCAAUGGGCGAAAGCCUGAAGCAGCAACGCCGCGUUGUGCGAUG
rnacentral:rRNA from 1 species